rnacentral:rRNA from 1 species
AGGUAAAUCCGGUUCACUUUAACACUGAGGCGUGACGACGAGGCACUACGGUGCUGAAGCAACAAAUGCCCUGCUUCCAGGAAAAGCCUCUAAGCAUCAGGUAACAUCAAAUCGUACCCCAAACCGACACAGGUGGUCAGGUAGAGAAUACCAAGGCGCUUGAGAGAACUCGGGUGAAGGAACUAGGCAAAAUGGUGCCGUAACUUCGGGAGAAGGCACGCUGACACGUAGGUGAAGUGAUUUACUCAUGGAGCUGAAGUCAGUCGAAGAUACCAGCUGGCUGCAACUGUUUAUUAAAAACACAGCACUGUGCAAACACGAAAGUGGACGUAUACGGUGUGACGCCUGCCCGGUGCCGGAAGGUUAAUUGAUGGGGUCAGCGCAAGCGAAGCUCCUGAUCGAAGCCCCGGUAAACGGCGGCCGUAACUAUAACGGUCCUAAGGUAGCGAAAUUCCUUGUCGGGUAAGUUCCGACCUGCACGAAUGGCGUAAUGAUGGCCAGGCUGUCUCCACCCGAGACUCAGUGAAAUUGAACUCGCUGUGAAGAUGCAGUGUACCCGCGGCAAGACGGAAAGACCCCGUGAACCUUUACUAUAGCUUGACACUGAACAUUGAGCCUUGAUGUGUAGGAUAGGUGGGAGGCUUUGAAGCGUGGACGCCAGUCUGCGUGGAGCCGACCUUGAAAUACCACCCUUUAAUGUUUGAUGUUCUAACGUGGACCCGUAAUCCGGGUUGCGGACAGUGUCUGGUGGGUAGUUUGACUGGGGCGGUCUCCUCCUAAAGAGUAACGGAGGAGCACGAAGGUUGGCUAAUCCUGGUCGGACAUCAGGAGGUUAGUGCAAUGGCAUAAGCCAGCUUGACUGCGAGCGUGACGGCGCGAGCAGGUGCGAAAGCAGGUCAUAGUGAUCCGGUGGUUCUGAAUGGAAGGGCCAUCGCUCAACGGAUAAAAGGUACUCCGGGGAUAACAGGCUGAUACCGCCCAAGAGUUCAUAUCGACGGCGGUGUUUGGCACCUCGAUGUCGGCUCAUCACAUCCUGGGGCUGAAGUAGGUCCCAAGGGUAUGGCUGUUCGCCAUUUAAAGUGGUACGCGAGCUGGGUUUAGAACGUCGUGAGACAGUUCGGUCCCUAUCUGCCGUGGGCGCUGGAGAACUGAGGGGGGCUGCUCCUAGUACGAGAGGACCGGAGUGGACGCAUCACUGGUGUUCGGGUUGUCAUGCCAAUGGCACUGCCCGGUAGCUAAAUGCGGAAGAGAUAAGUGCUGAAAGCAUCUAAGCACGAAACUUGCCCCGA